GUAGGUGAACCUGCGGUUGGAUCAUUAAAAAAUACAAGUGUGAACGACCCUUAUUUGGGAAUUCACACUUUGUACCCUGUGGCCAUCGCCCGGGGUAUAACCCACAUUUUGUGCACUGACAUCUGUCCCUGGCGGGCGGGCAGCGCAAGCUGCUUGUCAACCAUGAUUCUUCAUGGGUGUGGACAACCCGUCAACCACUUCUUUACUUAUGUUUUUCUUACAUUGUCUGACAUUAUUUGUACAAAAAUACAAAACAACUUUUGGCAACGGAUCUCUUGGCUCUC
rnacentral:misc_RNA from 1 species